CCCACUUUCCUAGCCAUAAUGGUUCCCUGUAACCAAAGGAACACAGCCCUGCGCCCUGUUGAAAGCUUCAGCAGUCUGUUAUCAGACAAGUACUGAGAAGUCCAGUUUUAAAGACUAAGGAGUGACGUUCGGAAACACCACCAAUAAAGAGAUAGAGCAGAAUUUUAUCAGGACUACGGUGUCAAGGGCGUUUGUCAAAGGUUUACAGCAUUUCCUGUUCUUCCUGUGCUACCUCUUCUUUCCAGGUCAUCUUGCAAAGAAGCUAGGGGAGCACCAUGCAAAAAAAGAAAUCGUCUCUUCUUUCUGAGUUCUACUGACCCAGAUAAUAUCAGCAAAGAGGAGGCAGGGAAGCACAGGAGGAAAAUGGCAUGUAAAUGGAAUCUGAAAGAAAAGGUGAUACUCAGCCAGAGAGGCGUGAAUGGCGAGAAGCAUCCCUUACUUCUGCAUACAUGGGCAGUUCUGAGCUUUUGAAGUGUCAUUAAAACUACAGGAGCUGGGACACCCUUAUCGGGUACUCUGCAUUCUCGUCAAGUCUUGUUGUUGUGGCUACUGUCGUAAGAGGUGACACUGGGAAGAGAAAGGGAGGAAAAGAGAGACAGGGCCAUACAGCAGCCCUCUGAGCACUGCGUCAAGGUGAAGAUGGCCAUAGCACCCAGCUAAGGGAGAAACACAGAAUGGUGGCACCUUACAUCUCAGACGAAGAAACCUGGACUCCCAGGUGUGGUGCCUGCUGAGAAACCCAGAGCUUGGGAGAUGGAGGCAAUCCGUGGUACUCCUCAGCUAGAUGGCCGCGCAAAUAGGAUCAAACUCAUCGUGCAACCAAAGGUGGCCAUGAGCGGUUGGUCUUCUACUUCUCUGUCUCCCCAGUGCUGGGAGGUCAGCACCCCUGCUUGAUCAGAGCUAGAGGUGGAACCUUGUGCCUCUUGAGCAAGCACUCUACCUACAUACCUAGCUACAGUCCCACCUGAGGUCAGAGUAUGCAAAGCAGAGUUUGCUUGGGAAUUACAGAAAUCCAGAGAGCAACAGGAAGCUCUGUGCUCUGCAAACUCAGCUCCUUGUUAGAGGAACAAGUGUGAGUCCCUCCUGGCUCUCACUCUCAGCUCCCAGUUCUUUCCACACGGGAAAGCUGCCUCCAUAGCUUCAGCCCACAGUCAUUCCAUGGGAAGAAUUCACAUUCACGGUUUUAAAAUUCUGUUCUCUCUUUUUAAGAAUCCUUUAAAGAAUGCAUCAUUUUUAUUAUGUCUCAAUGGGUUUCAAAUAAUAAAACCGUUUUUAAAAGGCUUCCAAACUAGAGAACAAUUUACAAUGGCUUUGUUUUCAAUUUGUCAAAAAACAGUUUAGUAUUUUUGUAUAUUCCCUUCUACUGUUCAUAUUCAUAUAAUAUUCUAUAGCAAUUAGUCAUAAUUUAUAUAAAAGUACUACCUUUUAUUAUACUUGCCACAAUACCACAGUCAUUUUUAUACAUAUAAAAUAUAUUUUUAAUGUUGAUUUUUGCAACCUUUAUUCUCUUUUUAGCUGAUUUUCAAAGUGCCAUGAUUAUAUUAUCAUGCCUAUUUGGGGUUAUCAGAUUAUUUCCAUCUAAAAUUAUUUUUAAGUUCACUUUUAUAAUUACAUAAAUAAAUAUACAAACUGCAGAAAAUUUAAAAUAAAAAGAAAUAAAAAUCUACACAUAAAAUUUGAUAUACAAACAUUCAGUUUUGAUUUUUUUCAUUCAUUUACUUUGGUUUUAUGGUAUCCUGGGUUUGGAUGUGGUUUGUUUGCCAGAGUUCACAUGCCAGGGGCGUUGUCUCCAGUGUGGAGGUCUGAAAGAUGGCAGAGUCUUAGGAGGUGGGUCUGAUCACCAUAUCUGCAGACUCUUAACUGGCAAUGUGCAGAGAACAGCGACUGUGGAUGCUCAGACCUCUACAGCACUCUCCAACAUUCGGGAGCAUCACAAAAGAGAGGCAGAAAGAAUGUCAGAGCUGGAAGGCAGGGUGUAGCAUUGUGAGAUACUCUUCAGGGCAUGCUCUUUACCAAGACAAGAUUGGGCCCAUCGACUCCUGUUAGGGAUGGAGAGGGAGCUCACAUGGAUGCCCCCUCCUUUAUAGAUUUAUAGACAGAUAGCUAAGGAGGUAACUAAGAGCUAGUGAGGUGUGAGUGCUCCCUGCAGGUCUAGAGACAGGCAAGGGCUGGGGAAAGGAGAGCAUGUCCUUUGGUGGAAUAGCCACUGGUAGGGUGCCCAGACCCCGUAAGUAACCCCGAUGAAAAACCAAAGCCGUGAAAGCAAUGGAGAACU